CGAAGAUGGGCACCUGAUCUAGCCAUGCCGCGUGAGUGAUGAAGGCCCUAGGGUCGUAAAGCUCUUUCGCCAGGGAUGAUAAUGACAGUACCUGGUAAAGAAACCCCGGCUAACUCCGUGCCAGCAGCCGCGGUAAUACGGAGGGGGUUAGCGUUGUUCGGAAUUACUGGGCGUAAAGCGCGCGUAGGCGGAUCAGAAAGUUGGGGGUGAAAUCCCGGGGCUCAACCCCGGAACUGCCUCCAAAACUCCUGGUCUUGAGUUCGAGAGAGGUGAGUGGAAUUCCGAGUGUAGAGGUGAAAUUCGUAGAUAUUCGGAGGAACACCAGUGGCGAAGGCGGCUCACUGGCUCGAUACUGACGCUGAGGUGCGAAAGUGUGGGGAGCAAACAGGAUUAGAUACCCCGGUAGUCAA
rnacentral:rRNA from 1 species